UGAAAAAUUGGGCAAACCUGCCGAAAGACAGGGACGCAAAGCUAUGGGUCUAAGGAAGAGAUUCUAUGACUGCCAGGCUGCUAAA
rnacentral:ncRNA from 2 species